CCAGACUCCUACGGGAGGCUGCAGUGGGGAAUAUUGCACAAUGGGGGAAACCCUGAUGCAGCGACGCCGCGUGAGUGAAGAAGUAUUUCGGUAUGUAAAGCUCUAUCAGCAGGGAAGAAAAUGACGGUACCUGACUAAGAAGCCCCGGCUAACUACGUGCCAGCAGCCGCGGUAAUACGUAGGGGGCAAGCGUUAUCCGGAUUUACUGGGUGUAAAGGGAGCGUAGACGGAUGGACAAGUCUGAUGUGAAAGGCUGGGGCUCAACCCCGGGACUGCAUUGGAAACUGCCCAUCUUGAGUGCCGGAGAGGUAAGCGGAAUUCCUAGUGUAGCGGUGAAAUGCGUAGAUAUUAGGAGGAACACCAGUGGCGAAGGCGGCUUACUGGACGGUAACUGACGUUGAGGCUCGAAAGCGUGGGGAGCAAACAGGAUUAGAUACCCUAGUAGUCACC
rnacentral:rRNA from 1 species